rnacentral:lncRNA from 1 species
AAUGUGUGAGGUGGUGCUAUGUAGCAGGAACCCCUCUUGCUUUGCAAAUAGUUUUUUGUUUGUUUUCCUUUUUGCCCAAUAGAGCCCUGCUCUACUGACCCUUCAAUGUGCCCGUGUGCCUAAAUAUUCCUGGUCGUGUGAAAAGAACCCAGGUAUUAGCUGAACUAAGGAGCACAAUUCUGCAACAUUUUGGCACCCAAACACGGGGCUUGAGAAAUGAAUGCAAUUGGAGAAACUGGUUGUUUUACCAGGCGUUGAUUGGAAAUGUGUGCUUCCCUUUAAGCAGUCAAGCUCAACUUGCAGAACUGAUGGGAACCCCUUGGGAAAACUGGCCUCAAAUGUUUGUCUACACAGUCCACAUACAGGGUUCUUAACCUGCGAUUGAAACUCCCACAACUUUGGCAGACCAACUCCUCAGAAAACAUUAUUCUUUGACAUCAAUAUGUUUUGCACAAAAUUGAAUGGCAAGUGAAAGGCAUCAAAUGAUGGAGUCUUGUUCUGUGGUCCAGGCUAGAGGGCAGUGGCAUGAUCUCGGCUCACUACAAGCUCUGCCUCCCGGGUUCACGCCAUUCUCCUGCCUCAGCCUCCUGAGUAGCUGGGACUACAGGCGCCCGCCACCACGCCUGGCUAAUUUUUUGUAUAUUUACUAGAGAUGGCUAGUGUUAGCCAAGAUGGUCUCGAUCUCCUGACCUCGUGAUCUGCCCACCUCAGCCUGCCAAAGUGCUGGGAUUACUGGCGUGAGCCACCGUGCCUGGCCAGCAUCCUCUAAUUAUUAUUCAUAGUUUGUGAAUUUAGGCCUACGUGAAUAAUAAUAUAAUAUUUACUAUGAUGUUACUAUCUACCAACCUUAUUUUUCUUUUCUAUAAAAUAGGAGCCAAAAUAAUAUUUAUGUCAUACCUUAUGAAGUUAAAAUAAAAUAUAACGAAUGAGGGGCUUAACAA